GUCUCUGUAACGCAAUGGAUAGCGCGUUGGACUUUUAAUCCAAAGAUAGUCGUUUCGAAUUUUACCUGGGAUU